rnacentral:tRNA from 1 species
AAAAAAAUAAGCUAAAUAAAGCUAUUAGGUUCAUACCCUAAAUAUAAAGGAAAUACCUUUUUUUUUUA